UGAGCGCAGUAAGAGCAUGAUUAACUAGGAGGUUCUCACAAAAAUUCUUAAAACAUAUAAAAUAAAACAUUUUAUCAAAUGUUGUUUUGAGGUUUUCAAAAUCACGAGAAUUCCUUUCCAACGUAUCUCAAAUGAAAUAUUUUGAAAAAGAGUUCUCAUAAUAUAUUAAUAAAAUCUUUUCAAAAAAAAAAUAUAUAUAUUAAUAAAAUAUAAAUAUUUAUAGAUACAUAUAGUUGACAUACUUUGUUUGAAAACUCUUCACUAGGGUUGUUCUAAGUGACUUGAUUGAUACCCAGCGUACAUAAAAGAAAGUUAAAACCAUUCAUGCAAAGAACUAAAUUUAUCAUUUAAUCU
rnacentral:lncRNA from 1 species